rnacentral:rRNA from 1 species
UCAGGACGAACGCUGGCGGCGUGCUUAACACAUGCAAGUCGAGCGAGGCCCUCCUUCGGGGGGUGCCCUAGCGGCGAACGGGUGAGUAACACGUGGGCAACCUGCCCUCAGCUCUGGGAUAACUCCAAGAAAUUGGUGCUAAUACCGGAUGUGACCGCUGACCGCAUGGUCUGGUGGUGGAAAGAUUCAUCGGCUGAGGAUGGGCCCGCGGCCUAUCAGCUUGUUGGUGGGGUAAUGGCCUACCAAGGCGACGACGGGUAGCCGGCCUGAGAGGGUGACCGGCCACACUGGGACUGAGACACGGCCCAGACUCCUACGGGAGGCAGCAGUGGGGAAUAUUGCGCAAUGGGCGAAAGCCUGACGCAGCGACGCCGCGUGAGGGAUGACGGCCUUCGGGUUGUAAACCUCUUUCAGUAGGGACGAAGCGCAAGUGACGGUACCUACAGAAGAAGCACCGGCCAACUACGUGCCAGCAGCCGCGGUAAUACGUAGGGUGCAAGCGUUGUCCGGAAUUAUUGGGCGUAAAGAGCUCGUAGGCGGUCUGUCACGUCGGCUGUGAAAACCCGAGGCUCAACCUCGGGCCUGCAGUCGAUACGGGCAAACUAGAGUACUGCAGGGGAGACUGGAAUUCCUGGUGUAGCGGUGAAAUGCGCAGAUAUCAGGAGGAACACCGGUGGCGAAGGCGGGUCUCUGGGCAGUAACUGACGCUGAGGAGCGAAAGCGUGGGGAGCGAACAGGAUUAGAUACCCUGGUAGUCCACGCCGUAAACGUUGGGCGCUAGGUGUGGGGGCCAUUCCACGGUCUCCGUGCCGCAGCUAACGCAUUAAGCGCCCCGCCUGGGGAGUACGGCCGCAAGGCUAAAACUCAAAGGAAUUGACG